UUGUGAAGAUGGGAAUCGAACCCACAGUGUUCCGCUUAUCAGGCAGAUGCCAUGUCCACUAGGCUACCCUGGACA
rnacentral:tRNA from 1 species